CCGCGGGGGAGGGCCGCGGGCCGAGGACUUUUGCAAUUUCCCGUCUUGCCGCGCACUCUUGGCGCUCCUGGGACCCACAGGAAUUCGCCUCCUUUUGGUCCCCGGGGAAGCGGACGGGACCCCGCGGAGUUAUACGAUCGACUAUCAAGGAGAGCCUUGUCGACUUUGGAGCUGAUAUGGCAUCCCUAAUACUGCCACUUCCUCAGCAGCCUGGCGAUCCAGAGAGGACAGCGGUGAGACGCCCGUGUCCGGGGCACUCGCCCGGAUGCCCGAACCUCGGAGGCUUGCUCAUGGCACUGUUUCUGGUCGGCUAAGCCUGUUCUGGUUCCGGUUUGGGGACCCUAGACAGUAUCACAAAUGGCAGGGACUGGAUUUAAUCAAGUUAAGAUGAGGUCAUACUAGAUGAAUCCAAUGACUGCUGUCCUUAUGGAAGAGGGAAAUUUGGACACAGAUACUCAGGAGGAAUACUACGUAACUUCUGAGGCAGAGACUGGAGUUAAUUCUGCCUCGUGGCAAGGAACGCCAAGGAUUGCUGGCAACCAGAAGAAGCUAGGAGAAAGCAGUAUUUGGUAACCAAACUGAUGAAGUUUGAAGGAAUUGGGCGUUUUUUGAAGAAAGUGACUUCAUCAAAAGGAAGAUUAUCUGUAUGUGCUGCUGUGGAACUAUGUCCAAGAUAUAUAAUUAAGUGAAAAAGGUAAGAGUCAGAAAUAUGUAUUUGGUAUGUCUGUGCUUCUAUUUGUUAAUGUUUAUGGAAUAUACAUAAGCAUGUUUUGAGUAGGAUUGUAAGAAGUUGGUAACAGGUUGUUCUUGGGGAGAAGGUCAAGAAUGGGGGUGUGUGUAAAGGAAGCUUGUCCUUUUCAUUUUAGACCUAUCUGUGCAGAUUAAUUUUUUAUCAUGUGUUUUGAUUUUUAAAAGUAAUAAUUUUAAAAAUCAAAGAAUGACUUACUUGAUUGAGAAGGAACCUCAUUUGUUAUUCAUUUUGGUUGUUAGACUCAAUUUAUAAUCAGUUAUAAUUUCUCUGUAAGGAUAUAGAAGAAACAAAAUUAAUUGCCCCUGAAGAAGAGAAUGAGAUGACUGAGAGACAGAAGGAAGAGUUUUAACUCUA